rnacentral:rRNA from 1 species
AGUGAACGCUGGCGGUAGGCCUAACACAUGCAAGUCGAACGGCAGCACAGUAAGAGCUUGCUCUUACGGGUGGCGAGUGGCGGACGGGUGAGGAAUACAUCGGGAUCUACUUUUUCGUGGGGGAUAACGUAGGGAAACUUACGCUAAUACCGCAUACGACCUACGGGUGAAAGCAGGGGAUCUUCGGACCUUGCUCGAUUGAAUGAGCCGAUGUCGGAUUAGCUAGUUGGCGGGGUAAAGGCCCACCAAGGCGACGAUCCGUAGCUGGUCUGAGAGGAUGAUCAGCCACACUGGAACUGAGACACGGUCCAGACUCCUACGGGAGGCAGCAGUGGGGAAUAUUGGACAAUGGGCGCAAGCCUGAUCCAGCCAUACCGCGUGGGUGAAGAAGGCCUUCGGGUUGUAAAGCCCUUUUGUUGGGAAAGAAAAGCAGCAGGUUAAUACCCCGCUGUUCUGACGGUACCCAAAGAAUAAGCACCGGCUAACUUCGUG